rnacentral:rRNA from 1 species
UCCUACGGGAGGCAGCAGUGGGGAAUAUUGCGCAAUGGAGGAAACUCUGACGCAGCCAUGCCGCGUGUGUGAAGAAGGCCUUCGGGUUGUAAAGCACUUUCGACGGGGAAGAUGAUGACGGUACCCGUAGAAGAAGCCCCGGCUAACUUCGUGCCAGCAGCCGCGGUAAUACGAAGGGGGCAAGCGUUGUUCGGAAUUACUGGGCGUAAAGGGCGUGUAGGCGGAUGUAUUAGUUGGGGGUGAAAGCCUUGGGCUCAACCUGAGAACUGCCUUCAAUACUAUGCAUCUAGAGUCCGUGAGAGGAUGGCGGAAUACCCAGUGUAGAGGUGAAAUUCGUAGAUAUUGGGUAGAACACCGGUGGCGAAGGCGGCCAUCUGGCACGGUACUGACGCUGAGGCGCGAAAGCGUGGGGAGCAAACAGGAUUAGAUACCCUGGUAGUCCACGCCGUAAACGAUGUCUGCUAGCCGUUGGGGGUUUGGCCCUCGGUGGCGCAGCUAACGCAUUAAGCAGACCGCCUGGGGAGUACGGCCGCAAGGUUAAAACUCAAAUGAAUUGACGG